rnacentral:rRNA from 1 species
UACGUAUGGUGCAAGCGUUAUCCGGAUUUACUGGGUGUAAAGGGUGCGUAGGUGGCAAGACAAGUCUGAAGUGAAAAUCCGGGGCUCAACCCCGGAACUGCUUUGGAAACUGUUUAGCUAGAGUACAGGAGAGGUAAGUGGAAUUCCUAGUGUAGCGGUGAAAUGCGUAGAUAUUAGGAGGAACACCAGUGGCGAAGGCGACUUACUGGACUGCUACUGACACUGAGGCACGAAAGCGUGGGGAGCAAACAGG